rnacentral:lncRNA from 1 species
CAAAAAGAUCAUCUUAUAGGUUGUCUUUUUUUAUGUGCCAAUCCAAAACUCAGCGUGUCAGCAUCCCUUUUGAAAAGGGAUGAUCUAAGGGCCGUCCCCUUUUGCCCAAAAAGGAUUAUCUUCAAUUUUUGAUUUCUAAAACUUCCAAAGUUGCCUCCAAAUAAUCUGAAAUCAUCUUGAAUAUACUUGAAGCUUCCGAAUAAUAUUAUUUUCAUG